AUAAUCGACUUCAAUUAGUUUGAGAUUAAGAUUUCAAUUAGUUUAAGAUUAAAAUUUAAUUAUUGUUACUAUGAUUCUUCAAUAUUGUUUAUGUUUUUUAUUAAAAAUUAGUUAAUUUAUUUAGCAAGGAUGAAAAUAUCAUUCCUUAUCAUUCAGGGUUAACCCUUUCAAAGUUCACUUUAAAAUUAUUCAGAAAUAUUAAUGCACCAAAUCA
rnacentral:misc_RNA from 1 species